GAUGAACGCUGGCGGCGUGCCUAAUACAUGCAAGUCGAGCGAACGGACGAGAAUCUUGCUUCUCUGAUGUUAGCGGCGGACGGGUGAGUAACACGUGGAUAACCUACCUAUAAGACUGGGAUAACCUCGGGAAACCGGAGCUAACACCGGAUGAUAUCUUGAACCGCAUGGUUCAAUAGUGAAAGACGGUCUUGCUGUCACUUAUAGAUGGAUCCGCGCUGCAUUAGCUAGUUGGUAAGGUAACGGCUUACCAAGGCAACGAUGCGUAGCCGACCUGACAGAGGGAUCGGCCGCCCUGGAACUGGAACGGGGUCCAGACUACUACGAGAGGCAGCAGUAGGGAAUCGGCCGCAAUGGGCGAGAGCCUGGCAGAACAACGCCAAGUGAGAGGUGGAGGUCUUCGGAUCGUGAAACUCUGUUAUUAGGGGAAAACAGAUGUGUAAGUAACUGUGCACAGCUUGACGGUAACUAAUAAGAAAGCAACGGCUAACUACGUG
rnacentral:rRNA from 1 species